CUUGAUCUCUAAAAAAAAUUCGAUCUAUUAUGAAACACUUUCCAAAAGCACUCUUGAUUGGACUAGGACUCGAACUCGCGGCUGAAAACUAUAACUUGCCCACUCGAUGUAGGACUCGAAGAAGGACACGGUGUAGGACUCGACGAGGGACUCGGUGUAGGACUCGAAGAGGGACUCGGUGGAAGAUAUGGUGGCGGCGGGAGAUUAUGGCGGUGAUGUGGCAGGAAGUUUGGCGGCGAAGAUUGAUGA
rnacentral:lncRNA from 1 species